UGUGUGCCUUUUGCUUCUAUAAAUGCUUGUACUCUAUAUAUCCCUGAAAUGCAUGUUUUCUUCCAAGCAGGACCAUGUACCCCACAAGGCCAGUGUUUCGGGGUGGAGCCAUGUUUCAGAUAUCUCUGCAUGGGCAAAGGCCAGAAUCUCAGCCACAGGCGGCUGAGGCUAGAGGGGCUGCAGAAAUUUGGGGCAAAAUCUUUCCUCCAACAUUCAAGACAGAAAGAACACACCCAUCAUCAAGAGGUGUCCCAAAGGAGCCUUUUGUGACUAUUCCAACAUUGUCAUCCAUGGUUCACGGACUUAGCCUUGAGACUCCUCCUAGGCCUCCUUUGGUCUGUUCAGGCCGAGGCAUUGCAGGGAGAGGAAUGGGUGACAUGCUCAUAAAACCCAACGCAGAUAUCCCGGGACAGCAGAUGAAUGCAGGGUUGAGAGCAGGACCAGCUGGAGACAGCAAGGUGGAACGGGGGCUUCCCAGCCGCGGCAAGUGAGUU
rnacentral:lncRNA from 1 species